GACAGAGGUGCCGAGCGUUAGGCGGAAUCACUGGGCUUAAAGCGUGUGUAGGUGGAUGCCUAAGUACCUUGUGAAAUCCCACGGCUUAACCGUGGAACUGCUUGGUAUACUGGCGGUCUUGAGCCAGCUAGGGGCUACCGGAACAAAUGGUGGAGCGGUGAAAUGCGUAGAUAUCAUUUGGAACGCCAAUGGUGAAAACAGGUAGCUGGGGCUGUGCUGACGCUGAGACACGAAAGCCAGGGGAGCAAACGGG
rnacentral:rRNA from 1 species